AUUGAACGCUGGCGGCAGGCCUAACACAUGCAAGUCGAACGAGUGGCGGAGGGGUGAGUAAUGUCUGGGAAAGUGCCUGAUGGAGGGGUAUAACUACGGGAAAAGGUAGCUAAUACCGCAAAACAUCAUAUGUGCCCAGAUGGGAUUAGCUAGUUGGGGGGGUAACGGCGCACCAAGGCGACGAUCCCUAGCUGGUCUGAGAGGGUGACCAGCCACACUGGAACUGAGACACGGUCCAGACUCCUACGGGAGGCAGCAGUGGGGAAUAUUGCACAAUGGGCGCAAGCCUGAUGCAGCCAUGCCGCGUGUAUGAAGAAGGCCUUCGGGUUGUAAAGUACUUUCAGCGGGGAGGCGUUACCCGCAGAAGAAGCACCGGCUAACUCCGUGCCAGCAGCCGCGGUAAUAC
rnacentral:rRNA from 1 species